GCGAACGGGUGAGUAACGCGUAAGAACCUGCCCUUGGGAGGGGAACAACAACUGGAAACGGUUGCUAAUACCCCGUAGGCUGAGGAGCAAAAGGAGAAAUCCGCCCAAGGAGGGGCUCGCGUCUGAUUAGCUAGUUGGUGAGGCAAUAGCUUACCAAGGCGAUGAUCAGUAGCUGGUCCGAGAGGAUGAUCAGCCACACUGGGACUGAGACACGGCCCAGACUCCUACGGGAGGCAGCAGUGGGGAAUUUUCCGCAAUGGGCGAAAGCCUGACGGAGMAAUGCCGCGUGGAGGUGGAAGGCCUACGGGUCGUCAACUUCUUUUCUCGGAGAAGAAACAAUGACGGUAUCUGAGGAAUAAGCAUCGGCUAACUCUGUGCCAGCAGCCGCGGUAAU
rnacentral:rRNA from 1 species